rnacentral:rRNA from 1 species
CCAAUAGCGUAUAUUAAAGUUGUUGCAGUUAAAAAGCUCGUAGUUGAAUUUCGGGAUUAAUAUGCUGGUCGUGCCAUUGGUACGUACUAGUAUUAUUGAUUUCUCCCUUCUGAUGAAUCAUGAUAUCAUUAAUUUGAUGUCAUGGGGAAUCAGGACUGUUACUUUGAAAAAAUUAGAGUGUUUAAAGCAGGCUCGCGCUUGAAUACAUUAGCAUGGAAUA